CCGGCACGGGUGAGUAACACGUAUCCAACCUGCCGUCUACUCUUGGCCAGCCUUCUGAAAGGGAGAUUAAUCCAGGAUGGCAUCAUGAGUUCACAUGUCCGCAUGAUUAAAGGUAUUUUCCGGUAGACGAUGGGGAUGCGUUCCAUUAGAUAGUAGGCGGGGUAACGGCCCACCUAGUCAACGAUGGAUAGGGGUUCUGAGAGGAAGGUCCCCCACAUUGGAACUGAGACACGGUCCAA
rnacentral:rRNA from 1 species